rnacentral:lncRNA from 1 species
ACAUCACUCCCUUGGUACUUACGGACUCAAUUGUCUCAUUUCUUGAUUUUCAAUUUACGCAAAGUCUUUUCAAGAUAUCGUGGAAUUUAUGUCCCACAGUUUCAAUUUUAACAUAUUCAUUUGGUGUUCCAAGAUUUAACUCGUUGAUUUCAUUUCCUGAUUGUUGUUAUUAUGAUCUUUGUAUGAAUGGGACCUGGAUCAAUGUAUGUAUAGGAGGAACAUGGGGAAAGGGUAAUGGGUAACCAAUUAUCCAGGCAAACAUUACCUAUAUGCCAUUCUGAUCCCCCCAUAAAAAAUUUUCUACCAUCCAGUAAACCCGCGAAGGAUGAGAGCCACAUGUAGCAAGAAAAUCACCAUUAGCAAAGUAACGGGCUUUGAGAACCCUAACCCAGAAUGCAUUGAGGUUACUCCAAUUGCAUCAUAUCUUUGUUUGAAAACCCCUUAAUUUGUAGUAAGCUCUUUUCUUACAUGGAAAAUUGAUGACACAUCUUCACUUAACAGUCUUCACGGCCAGAUUAAUGACCAAUCGCAAAGGACCCACUAGUGUAGUGGUUUGGAGUAUUUACUCCCUCAGGCAAGGUUCUGGGUUCGAGUCCUGGCAUCUGUGUUGUAUGUGUGAGUUUAAUAUGCUAUCGCCCCUUUCAAUAGGAAAGGACCUCAAAAAAAAAAAAAAAAAAGACCAAUCGACAUUGAUGAAAAUUUGAAAGUUAAAAAAAAAAUUGCAAUAAAAUGACAAAUUUUUUUUUCUUUUCUUUUCAUGUUGCUAUUAAGAAAACAUAGGUAACGAAAUGCCUCAUCACUCUACUCAAAGUUAUAUACUUUUAAAAAAGGUCAAAAGUCACUUUUGGUAGUUUGGCACUUCCACCACUUUUGAUCAUGUAGUUCAAUUCUAUCAAUUUUGUCAUUGUAGUUUCGUAUUUGUAGCAAUUCAAGGACAUGUUAGUAUUUUUAUCAAUUUCUUUCAUGAUGCAGUGGGCAAUUUCAUCAAUCCAAAACCCUUGAGCAUAAAAGUUUGUCUGAAAUUCUCCCUAUUUCAUAUUAGGACUCGAAAUUCAACCAUUAAUCUCAAUGUUUGAAGAACCCUAAACCCAAAUAAC